rnacentral:rRNA from 1 species
GAUGAACGCUGGUGGCGUGCCUAACACAUGCAAGUCGAGCGAUUCACUUCGGUGAAGAGCGGCGGACGGGUGAGUAACGCGUGGGUAACCUGCCUCAUACACAUGGAUAACAUACCGAAAGGUAUGCUAAUACAGGAUAACAUAAGAGAUUCGCAUGUUUCUCUUAUCAAAGCUCCGGCGGUAUGAGAUGGACCCGCGUCUGAUUAGCUAGUUGGUAAGGUAAUGGCUUACCAAGGCGACGAUCAGUAGCCGACCUGAGAGGGUGAUCGGCCACAUUGGAACUGAGACACGGUCCAAACUCCUACGGGAGGCAGCAGUGGGGAAUAUUGCACAAUGGGCGAAAGCCU